AUCUAACACUGGAAAGUGAAAGUAACUGCACCAGUCAAUUUCACGUUUUACUAUAGGCUAUAUACUGCACAUGAAGCUGCAAUCCUUUUUCACAACUGUAUCAGAAUCCGUCUCAGGAGGAGCUAAUUCUAACAAGUGCAAGAGGAAAAUCUUUACACUGCGAUGAAUGACAUCCCUUCCUACUCAAGUAUAUUCUCCAUCAACUCCUCCCAUUCAUGAAUGGAGCAUUUGUCUGUACCAUCUACUCUAUAUGUAGGUGGUUCCUUUAUGUCUGAUUGCAUGAUAAACUUAAUUUGACUGAGA